UGUGGGUUGGGAGCUGUAGGGGGAGGGGCUUGGGGAUGGGUGCAGGGCUGGGUGGUCACGGAAGGGCUGCUCCGUUCCAGGGAGGAUCAGAGUCCUGCAGCUAAAGGGAAACCUAAAUCCCAAAGAGGGGUAACACUGGGCUUCAAAAGUAAAAGAAAGGGGAGAUGGAAUGAGCACCGUCAGCCUUGGUGCUCUGCAGCAGGAGGACACCCCCAGAGCCGCUGUGAUGCCGGGGACAGGUGCGUUCCCAGCAGGAGCUGACGUGUUCGUACACAUGGAGAUGGAGCCUUUGGAUCUCAGGCAUCACUGUGUCCCCUCGAUUUUCGGGAGGAGCUGAGAACUUCACUGCUCCUUCUGCUGCUGACAGUCCUCCCCAGCUCAGCGCCCGCAGCCCCCUCCAUCGCAGCCUCCAGUUCAUCUCCAUUCUUGGCGCUUGCACAAUGAGGAAAUUGGCCAGCACUUCCAUAGCAGCCAUCAACUUUCCAGGGAUGUUGCAUGGAUUUUCCAGCCAGGGAUGGAACAGCCUCAGCAACCCUUCAAUCCGCCAGCCCGGGACUGCAGCUCUGCAUUAGGAAGGAGCAGACAGCAUUUAAAGGAGCAUCUGUAGGCAGAUCCUCCAGCACAGACACAGCCUUGCGUUAUGUUAUUGCAUCAGAGAAUGGACUUUACAUGCAUAUUACCCGGGUAUGACCAGCUAGGAAGUUUUCUUUCUAGAGCAGGAAAUGGGGAAACUUUCAUUAUUUUGUUUAACAAACCAGGUGCACGAAGCAAAAAGCCUCCACGCUGCGAGCGCCCAGCAAGUUCGUGCCGGCUGCACCUGAUGGUUUUAAUAUCACUGGACAAACUGCUCACUAAUAGAUUUUAUGUGGUGGCCACACAGGAAGGCCCCUGUGUGUGUCCCCUACCCUUAAUAUUCGCCGUCCGUUGCGGGGCUGUCGGUGAUGCUGGAAUCAUUUUGCCAUCAGCCUGCGGUCGGAUCUGCUGCUCUCUUCCUGGGCAUCUUCCGAGUGCAAAAUGCACCGAGGGGAAAGCUGCAGCGUCCUGCCCUGCGCCGUGGCCUGGCGGACGCCUGCGGGUCUGCAAAACCCAUCACGAGCUUUGCAGAGCUGGUGCAAACCCGCAGCAAGGCGAGUGCAUCAGGAUGCAAGCAAGGUGGUGGGGAAUGCAAACUGGUGGCAUGCACCGUGGUGUCCCCGUGUCCUUUCCCCGUCCCCCUGCGCCUGCCCCUCGCCCUGUUUGCUGCUCGCCCUCCUUUGUUCCCGAACCAUAUUUCUCAUCUCGUCUUGCUGCGAGCCAUGCGGAGGAGUGCUGCCUUUCAAACACGCCAUCCUGCGUCAGCCCCGGCCUCUUUGUUUCUUUUUAGCGUGCUCAGCUUCGUGCUGGGAGAGCGGGGCUUUUUCCAGCCAGGACGGUUCGGAGCAUGGGACGUGUGCGGAAUGAGCGAUGCCGGAGCUUCGGGCUCAGCCAGGGCUGGAAAAACCCCACUCUUUGCUUUGGGCUUGAAGCAAAACCACCUCCUCCACCUCCCUGUGGCUGUGCUUUAAAUCUGGGAAACAGCACGCGUGCAGCAUUCGGUGACACUGAGAGCCCAUAACUCAGGGGAUGAACGCUGCAGCAGAUCCAUUCCCCGGCACGGCCGGCGCUGUGCGUGGGGCACCUGGAUCCUGCUGCCUCCUCGCAUCAAUCUCCCGGCUGGGAUUUGUCCAAAACCAAAAGGUUUGGAGCAAGCUGGAAAAACAGCGUGAGGUCCCUGGGCACUGCACAGACCGCAGCGUCCUCCAGCCCUGAGAUGAGCAGAGGCUCACGAUCGUGCUGCUCCCAGGAACAAUUUAUAGCCUGGGGUCUGUGUGUCCUGCUCUGGAAUAAGAAAGUAUUCCUAUUCCCAUGGCCUGAAUUCAUUAUAUUGAAGAUAAGGGAUUCUGCGUUAGAACAAAAAGAAUCUCCGCAGCAGUUUGGAAGGGGAAUCUUUCUAGAGAUGAAAUUAAAUCUCAAAACAAAUCCGAGACCAGGCACAGAGACCAAGCCCGGGGAGAUGGCUGACCAAGGGUUGACCACGAGCCAGCAGUGUGCCCUAUGGCCAGAAGGCCGAUAGUAAUCUGGUUGGCCAACGGUUGACCAAGGUUGACCACAGGUUGACUGGAGCACUGGGCCAAGUGCUGGGCUCCCCAGUCCCAGCCAGACUGGAAACUGCUGGAGAGAGCCCCAUGGAGGGUGCAGAGCUGGAGAUCUCCCGAUGGGGAAAUGCUGAGAGCCGCGGGGCUGUUCGCUUGGAGGAGAGAAGGUCGAGAGGGCAUCUGAUCAAUGCUGUACCAAAACCAAACACUGGGGUCAUUGCUGGCAGCCACCCCCAUCCCUUCCAUGCUGUGGGGUGACAGCAGCGCUGGGGACACAGCCUGGGGCUCAGCGACCCCCGCCGCGUCCUGCACACGAUGCAGCCACAUCACUGCGCAGGGAAGAGGAUGAGGGCCCUUCUCAAGGUGACCAGCUUCUUAUUUUUGGCCGCUUUCCCCCUACCACUGGAGCCGAGCCAGGCUGCGAGCUGUUGAAGUUUUUAGGCCCUUUGUUUAAUCGAAGCGAUGUUUGUUUUUGAUCACAGGCAUUAGAUAGGCACUUCCUCUGCAGGCAGGAAGCAGUGAUUUCCUGUUCACUCGUCGGCCAACUCUCACUGCGCAGGAAACCUCGCUCUGCUGAGUGUUCACUUUUCGUGCAGCGUUUUUGGAAGCCCUCUCGUGGGGUUGUUUUGUUUUCUCUUUCCCUGCUCCGGUGCUGUUGGGUUCCCACAGGGGCUGAGCGCUGGUGGUGCCAUUUCCCCACGUUUGGCUUGCAAUCUCCCCACGAGGUCCAAGGGGAAGCAGGGAAGACAGCGUCACUGUUUUGAUGGUGUUUGUCACCACUGCGUGACAACAGUGUCACUAUUUGGAUGGGGUUUGUCACCGUUGUGAUGGGGUUUGCCACUGUUUGGAUGGGGUUUGCCAUCAGUUUUGUGCUACCACCACCAGCACGGGCGCAUCCCUCUGCUUUCAUGGACCUGCUCGGUGCAGAUCCACGCCUACAAGCACCCAGUUCAUCUCUCCCUGCGGUUUGGUUGGUGUCUGUGUGUUGUUCUGGAUGCAGACUGCUGUUGAGGAGGGUGCAUUUGCACCAGGUGGCCUAACCAACUUGCUGUCACGUGCAGAGUUGAAGCAGGGAGCUGGACCAAGCCUGCCCCAAUUGCCCCUUUCCUUGCUGGGACCUUUAGGCAGAGGUUGCUCUGUGGGGAUGCAGCAGGUGAAUGCCGUUGCUGAUUACCCAUUAAAUUAGUGUGAGAACUCUGCUGUGGGUACAUAGCUUAUGCUUCCCAGCUGCUUUGCAAGUGCCAGCAGCUCACUCCUCAUCUCUGCAAUGCUCUGCUGGCUUUGUUCCCUUCUGGCUGCAGCUGUGUGCCCAGGUUAGUCCGUGAAGCAUAAGGGAUGGGGACAGAACUGAUGCUGCUUCCCACGUGGAGAGGUGCUUCUGAGGUGGAAAAGAGCAGCCCAAUGUGGAGCUUUUAAGUUGGUGCCUAGAGAGAAGGCAAAAAGUCUACGCGAAGCUCUGAGCAACGCAGAGGCAGAUGGUUUCCAUCACUAAACCCAAAGAGAGAAUGUCUCCUGGGUGACAUGGUGUUGCCCUUAGCUCCUGGCUGGAUGAGGAUCCCAGGGCAAUGCAAUGCCUCCCAGCUGAGCUGAUGGGCAGCAAGCAGAGCAAAAGGAGCUGCCAGACCUGGCGCCAGGACUCAGCCAUUGGUUUUCCUAAAGCCAUCCGAAGCCAUUCUGGAGUCAGCGGUCACCAAAAGCCCUGCAGGGAGCGUGGGGGCUUUGGGAAGGAAGCAUCAGGUGUUGUGCUGCAGUGGGGUUGGGACGCUGAUGUUCAAGGCAGCCUUUGUUCGGGCGGGAAUUACAACCAGACCUCUCUCCUGCAGCGGUCAGAGUGGAGGUGUUUCCCCAGGGGAAAGCUGGAAGCUUUACUCUCAGAUCCUCCAGAACUGGAGGAAGCACGCCGUGUCCUGCCCUGACCACAAAGGCUGCAUCCGCCCCCCCUGUGCACGAGCAGUGUGCAAAGAGCUCCAUGAAGGCUCCAAGCAGCCGGAGCCUCUGCCAUGCCUGCUGGAUUCAGGCGGCCUUCGUGCUGCGUCCGUGCUGCAGGACGAGCCCAUCUCCUCCUUAGGUUCUUCAUUCAUUCAUGCCUUUGCGUGCAGCCCAGCCCCCCCCAGCAAGCAGCGGCCCACGAGCAGGUUGAGCAGCACACUCAUCCGGGGAUGCGCUGGAAAAUAAAACACGGGAGCUUUCUGGUUUUGCAUACCCCAUCCGGGGGCACGGUGCAGGCGCCGAGCAUGGAAAGUGGCGGCAUGACACAUCAGCACUCUUGUUUUGGUCUCACUUUGCUCGAUACCUCGCUCAGCGCCGCGGUCGCUUCACCCACCCAGUAAACAACGGCACGAGCGCGGGGAGCUGGCGGCUCCCUCCCGGCUGUGGGUGUCGGAGGGUUAAAAAUAGACUCCAGAUUUCGGUUGGUGAAUGUGGAGGCAGAGAGCAGAGCGCUGUUUAUCAAUGCCAGGGUUUCCCCUGAGACGCUGAAAUGAGUCAGAUAAGGGAUGGGUACAACCGUGCUCCACGCACGGGUCCAUCCUGGGAGCGUUGUGCUGAGGUCCCUAGGGAUGUUUGGCGUGGAUGGGUUCCUACAGGAUACUUUGCGGCGUCCUACCCAUCCUCACCCUGCUGUAAGCAUCAUGCUCUGCUGCUAAACCGCCCAUCCUCAGCCAUGAAAGCACCACGGGCUGCUCAGCUGGCUCAGUUUCUCGCUGCGUUUUGAGCCCAGGCAGGGGGAUGGCUGAGGAGCGUGGUCUCCCAAAGGGACCCAAAUGGCUGCAAGGUGCGCCAGGUUUCUGGCACUGGGGAGCCUGGAGGGGCACCAGCCUUCUGCAACAGCACUGCAGGAGUUGGCUCCGACCUUCCUACCCGGUGCAAAACAAAUUGCUUCCGAGGCAGAGGUCACCGAGCUCCGUGAUGCUGUGAUUUCAGAGAAGCACAGGGGAGGAUUUUGCUGUCCCUGUUGCUGAGCUGCUGACAUUUGGGACUUUCAGAGCAGCUGUGCUGUGAGGAGAGCUGCUGGGUCCCCGGGAGCAGCGUGGUGCCAUCGCUGCUGCUUGCUGGAACCUGAGGACUCAAAUGGCACGGAGGGCUGCUGGUGCUGCUGCAGCUCUUUGUGGCCCCAGUGAAAUUAGGACACGCAUUUUGGGGUGAUGCAGACCUGGCUGCCCACUGCCUAGGGCAGAGGGAACAUGCAUUUGGGGCACCCCAGGCUGGGUUUGUGCACAGUGGGGGCAGCGUGCUGCUGUUAGCAGAGGAGCAAACCGCUCCCUGGCAGUGUUUCUGAGGUCGGGUUGGCAGCUGCUUCGGCUCAGCCCCAUGGGGUGGGAGAUGGGGCUGAAACCGCUCCCCAUUUCCAUGCUGGCCCCUCUUGUGUCUCCAUGCCUCCUGCACUGGCAUCACCACCCCACCCCAUCCUCCUCAGCAUCCUCAUCCAAUUCCUUCAGCAUCCUUGUCCCCAUCCCAUCCUCCUCAGCAUCCCCAUCCCAUUCCUUCAGCGUCCUCAUCCCUGUCCCAUCCCAGUCCCACCCAUCCCCUCUCCCUUUGCACCACUGCAGCAACGUCUGCGCGCGAGGCCCUCGGGAUCCCUUUUUCUCCCAGGGACAACGUUUUGGAGGAGGGAUGGGGCCGCUUCCGGGGGCAUCCCGUGCUGUGGGAUCUGGGCUGGGCCGUGGGGCUGGGUGAACGGAGCACUUCUUCACACCCGACGCUUCGCUGGUGGAAGUGGCAGCGGCUUCCUGUUUGACUCACACCUGAUGGCCCCACUGCAUGAGUCGGGGCCUCUCGGCGCUUGCAGCAACUGAAUGGGGCUGUUUACAAUUAGAGAACAUGGGAUUCCCAGAAAGAGGCUCAGACCGGACAUCCUGAAGCGAAAUACCCCGGGCGUCACCGGCUAAAAAUAACCACAGCAGAACAGUCACCAAACAAACAGCGCGGCUGCAUUGGGUGCUGGGCUCGAUCCCAUGGCACGGGGGGGACGGGGACUGGGGGGGAGGAGGGGGGAAAUAUAACAGCCUUUCCUUCCCAUGUUGUGUUUUUUGGGCAUAACAAAGUGAUGCUCCGAAGCGGCAGUGGCGAGCAGUGAUUUCUCUCGGUUUCUGUCUUUGUUUGUGGACGGGGGGGGAGAAGGGGGGGGCACAAGGGAGGGGCUAAAAUAUAAAUGAAGCCGUUUCCAGCCGGGACCGAUGUGCUGUGGGGCAGAGGACCCCGUGGACAGCGUUGCUAUGGGGUGAAGGGUGGGAUCCUGCCGC